rnacentral:rRNA from 1 species
ACGAACGCUAGCGGCGUGCUUAACCCAUGCAAGUCGAACGGAAAGGCCCCUUUGGGGGUACUCGAGUGGCGAACGGGUGAGUAACACGUGAGUAACCUGCCCUUGACUUCGGGAUAACUUCAGGAAACUGGGGCUAAUACCGGAUAGGAAUCCUUGCUGCAUGGUGGGGGUUGGAAAGCUUCGGCGGUUUUGGAUGGACUCGCGGCUUAUCAGCUUGUUGGUGGGGUAGUGGCUUACCAAGGCUUUGACGGGUAGCCGGCCUGAGAGGGCGACCGGCCACAUUGGGACUGAGAUACGGCCCAGACGCCUACGGGAGGCAGCAGUGGGGAAUAUUGCACAAUGGGCGGAAGCCUGAUGCAGCAACGCCGCGGGCGGGGUGACGGCCUUCGGGUUGUAAACCGCUUUCAGCAGGGGCGAAGCUUGUGGUGACGGUACCUGCAGAAGAAGCACCGGCUAACUACGUG